AGUUUCUGAGGCGCCGGCGGUGUUCCUGGUAGCGUCAGCCUCCUGGCUUUUCCUUUUCCUGGACGCUUCAGGGCUCCGCGGCCUGCGCUAGACUGGAGGGUCCGCGUCACUCUCGCCCUCCUGCUUUCCGCGCUCUCACCCGCUCCCGCCUCCUGAGGGCACGACUUGUGGAGGAGCGCGGGCGGCGGGGCGUGAGCGAGCUGCCUCUGCCGCCAUCUUAGAGAAGGCGAGCGUGGGGUGUGCGUGGGCGCGAGUCGGCCUCCCGCGGUGCCGCCGCAGCGUGGCGCGGAGAGGCAGGGGCAUCCAGUGGUUCAAGGUUACAAUAAGCUGUGAUCGUGCCACUGCAUUCUACCUGGGAUGACAGAGUGGGACCCUGUGCCACAGAGUGAGACCCUGUCUCAAAAAAAAAAAAACUAUGUAAAUCCAAGAAAAAAAGAAAACAGCUCCUGUUGCCUUUUGCCUCUCAUCCAGAAAGGUAUCCAUUUGCCUUUCUAAUAUCUCUUCAUCCUGUCAGGCCACAAAUGGAGACGACUCACCUGUAUUGUACCUCUCCAAGUUCUGGAAAGUCGAUGGAGGGUUUACUCAGAACUUCAAUCUAUCCAGAACUGAGUUUUGUUUAUGGUGUGUGCCAGGUUCACGGGCACUUGUGAAGGUUUGUUAUACAGGGUUCAUGAUGUAUCUCUAACAAUAAGGAGCAGUAGAAAAUGGGGAAUCAAAUAAUAAUCAACUGCUACCGUAAUGCAGAUCUGAGGUAAAUAAGAGGGUCAUUAGGUCAGCAACUAAAUAGCUGCCUAGAAAUAGGAUGAGAGGGGAGGAGGCAGGUCUUGUUUACUCUGUUUAGCAUGUGGAAAAAAGAAAGAAGAAAGUACAAUAGUAAAAGGAGAGCCUGGGCAAACUGAUGUGUGCCUAUAGUCCCAGCUACUUGGGAGGUUGAGGUGGGUGGAUUGCUUGAGCCCAGGAAUUGGGGUCCAGCCUGGUCAACAUAGUGAGACCCCGUCUCUUAAAAAAAGUAAAGGGAUACAAUUAGAUUCAAGAGAAGGGUUUACAUUUCAUCACUGAUGUGGGGGGAUUAUUUUUCUCUUUCCUAUUAAACUGAACAAAGGAAAAAAAUUCUCCCCUUUCUGCUGGCAGUUAUCUAGCAGAUAACAAUUUUAUGACAAGCAGUGAAGCAAAGCUGAGACAUGGAAAGAACCUGAAUCCUUGGUGACAUGAUUGAGUUGCUGACUCAACCAGUUAUGAAGCCCAUUCAUCUCUGGACUUCUUGUUAUGUGAAUUAAGAAACGUUUUUAUUGUUUGGAAUCAAAGUCAAGGAAUACAUAUCCUGUACCCAUGAAUUUUAAGUUAUUGUCAACCCAUUCAUUAGUAAUCAUAGCCAGUCUUUUUCUUGGUCCACUGAGUUAUGUUUUCCUCUAAAUAGAGUUCUCUUUUCCCUCUUUGGCAAGGUGGCAGGUCACAGCCAGACCUACUGUACUAAAAACUCAAGCAGACUCAAUGAUAUAAUAAGAGCUAGGAUAUGGAAGCAUAUAUGCUCUGGCACAGUACAGAUUUUCUUUUUCUUUUUUCUUUUCUUUUUUUUAUUUUUAUUUUUAUUUAUUUAUUUUUUUUUUUUGAGACAGAGUCUCACCUGUUGCCCAGGCUGGAGUGCAGUGGCGUGAUCUCAGCUCACUGCAACUUCCACCUCCCAGGAUCAAGCAAUUCUCCUGCCUCAGCCUCCCAAGUAGCUGGGAUUACAGGUGCCUGCCACCAUGCCCAGCAAUUUUUUUUGUAUUUUUAGUAAAGACGGGGUUUCGCCAUGUUGGCUAGGCUGGUCUCAAACUCCUGACCUCAGGUGAUCCACCCACCUUGGCCUCCCAAAGCACAGAUUUUCCCAUAUGAAAAUAAUGUGCCUCCUAACCAGCCCCAGUAGCAUAAAAGAUACCAACUGGUGGGUCCACGUCUACCAGCCUGGAAGAUUUUAUUUCAUUUGGAGCCACACUCAUCAAUAAACUUCAGGUGUACUGCCAUAAAAAAUAUUAGGAGGUACCAGAGAGGCAUCUACUAACUUGCAUGCUUCAUCUCAUAUAAUUUUGCUGGUUUGGUAAUUUACAAAGUGAAAGUCACUUUGGACUAAAUCCAAGUUGUCAUUCUUAUCAAUAUUUGAACUUGGAACAUGUGUUCUGUUUUAGCGCUUUGCUUUUUUACUAACGAAGUUAGUGGCUGUGGGUGUGGAGGAUGGCUGCAUGAUUCUCAAGGCAGGUAUUCUUUUUGUUCUGAUAUACUUCAAAAGACACAUGGCUUAUCUUUGUACCAUAUCCAACACUGUUUUAGUCUUCAGUUUUAGGAUUGGUUAUUUUCUACCUAAAGGAAUGGGACUGAGCACAGGGAUAGAAAUAAAAGAAAUAGGAAGCAGGGAUGAGCAGUAAGAGAUGUUCCAAUGGUAUACUUCUUUAUCAGAACUAUUCUAAUAUUUUGUUAAAUAUGCUAUACCAGGAUUCAAUCCACCUAACUGGGUGAUGUAAACUGUUCCUGGGUGGAGGAAAAAAGCUGAAGUCCACAAUUCAGUGACUAGUCCUAAAACCUUUACUUCCCUCACAGAGAAUCAGACCCAUAUUUACUUCUCCCUUUCCCCCAGAAGGUAUUUCUAUCGAUCCCAAUAUGAAGAUUGCAAAGGUAAGGACCCCCACUCAGUUUGCAUCUCUUGGAAUUUGGCUAUAUUACUGAGAUUUAUUAGGAUUUUUUUUUUUUUUUUACUUACUAGUAUGCUUUCUGAGAUGUUAUAAGAUCAGGCACUAUUUCUGUUGACUUUGCCAUUCUACCGAAGAUCUUUAUAUUUUCUUAUUAUUCUAACAUUUCAAUUGAGGAGGAUAGACUUAAAGACUAAUAACCAUGACAGUUUCAGCCUCUGAUAUUUCUAGAGGCAAAUAUUUCCUUAUUACUUUGUGAGAAAAACCUUUCGUUAAUGGGUGUCUUUAAUUACAAGAAACUUAUUCCCUGUAUUGCGUUAAUAGUUGCCUUCCCAAAACUUCCCUCUGGAACAAUGCAUAAUAAAUCUACUUCAUUUUCCAGAGGACUAGAUUUAAAUGUAUAAAGAGUUAUGUAUUCUUCUUUCUGGGCAUUAUGAACAUAUCUAGUAACUUUAUGUGUUCCUUUGAAUACUUCUAGGAUUUAAAAGUUUAUAGACAUCAUCUAGAUAACUUCAUAAUCACACAAGGAGUGUUUCACCUGAAUUCAUCAAGCCUUUAAAAUCACUUCCACAGGAGAUGAAGUAACAGGACACAAUUGAACAAAUUCUUAAAAGAUAGAAUAUUCCAGGGACCAACUGGCCUUUGGUUUUCAAAAUUCAUUUUUAAAAAAAGACUGUUAAAAGAUUAAACAACAGGCACACACACACACAAUUCGAAAGAUAUGCACUAAGGUGUUAACAAUGGCAAUCUCUGGAUGGUGGUAUGUGACAUUCUUUUUUUCUUUUGUCUAUAUUUUUUAUUUUUCUACAAUGCACAUGUAUUGUUUCUCUAAGUAUCAUUAAGAAAAUUAAUAGUCAACCUGGCAAAAUAGUUUGCCCAAUCUGUAUGAGAUGUUUUUCAGACUCCCACCAUAUUUGAUGUGUUCCCAUGGUUGAACUCUUGUUCGCUAUUGUCCUCCCUGAAUUGUGAAGCCUGCUAUUUGGCAGUAUGCCUCAGAUACAAUCUUACUUACCUGAGGUAAAAUUUCUGACCUGGCCAUUUUAAAGAUUCUUAAUAAUGUUCAAUUAUAAAGGCAAUUGAAGACUACACUGCCUUUUUGGAAGUUCAAUAACAUGGUUAGCUGUUUAGAAUAUAGUCUGUUGACUAUUUAGAAUCGAUGUUAAGAACAUAGGCUCUGGAGAUCUCAGGAAUAUUGCUGAAACUUAUUUAAACCUUAAUUUUCUUAUCUGCAAAGUGAAGAAAAUACCAGAACCUAUUUCAAAGGGUUGUUGUAAAGGUUAAAUGAGAUAACACAGCAAAAUACUUGAGUAUAAUGCUUAGCUCACAGUAUAUAAAAUAAAUUUGAGCAAUUAUAAUAAUUAUUAUCGUGUUCAUAUAAAAUAUCAGAAUAAACAUUGUAUCAUUUAUACUCCCUCCAAUACCUCAAAAUUAAUUUGACUAAAAGUGUUAUAUUUAGCCAGCUUCUUGGUGAAAUAUCUUUUAAUCAAAAGAAUAGGACUAAAUAAGUAAUUUUCUUAAUCUGGUAACUAUAGAUAGCACUGUAUCUGUUUUUUAAUUCCAUAACAAAUUCUUUAAGUAACUCAUUAACAUUAAAUCUUUCGAGUGUUUAGGACCUGUGCGGUCCCAAAAAGCACCCACUUAAGUGGAAUAACCCCAAGAACAUAGGAUAAAGUUUCUGGGAUUUUCAUAGUACAUUGACAUUCCUUGAGAAUACACAACAUUUAUUGAGGUACCUGAAUAACUGAAGGCCCCGAGGAGCUAAUCAGAACCACACAAUCUACUCUGUGUAGGGUGAAUAUAUUCACUACUAGCUAGUGGAAUCAUGGUCCUCAAAUGCAGGAGGUGAUAAUAUCAGAAUUUUAUGAGAACAUCCAUUAAACUGAACACAUAGACAGUUAUCUAUCUGAGAGGUAAAGUGAUGGAGAGUAAGUUUAAAAUAUUUGAUGUCCCUCCAAACCCCCCAGUAGCCCAAGAACUGAAAAAUAGAAGCUGAAUAACUUUAUGGACCUGCCUGCUUCUGCUGUGCCACUCUGCAGCAGAACUUUAAAGCAAAAAAUUUCUUGGAGUUUUACACUGGAUAUAUUAAUGAAAUCACUAUUUUUGUUGCAUAUUAAACAAGAUUCCUUCCACUGCAAGUACAGAAACUCAAGAAAUUUAAACAAUAAUGAAGUGUAUUGACUCAACACUGAGUCUAGAAGUAGAACAGACUUCAGAGUUGGCUUAGUCUGGCAAGCACUAGCUUUCUUUCCCAAAGCUGGUUCUUAGGCUCUGUUCUCCUCUGUUGGCUUCACAAAAUGGCAGUCCCAGCUUCACUGGUGCGUAACUUCUUCCAACAGCUCUCACUUAAAGGUAAAGAAACAUUUUCCAGAAACUCUCAACAAGUUUUCCUUGACGUCACUAGCCAGUACUGUGUCUUAUUCCUCAUUCCUGAACCAAUCAUUAGCAAAGGAAUAAGAUUACUCCUAAGACACAUAGCUUCUGGUAAGGGAGCCGUGGAUGUAUAAAUGAAAAUGGGGUGCUCUUGGGAAGAGGGAAAUAAAUAUUGGGUGGGUAAUCAACAAGGCGUCAUCAAAAAACUUUCUGGGGGUUGAAUGAAGCAGGAAAAUUUUUUUUUCAGAAUAGUUUUUCAUACAAUACUUGGCUUUUAAACAGUUGAGAAAUAAAAGAAUCCACAUCUUUUCUCAUUUGAUUUCCCCCUUGCUGAAAUUACAAUAAUUUUUUUUUUUUUGAGAUGGAGUCUCUGUCACCCAGGCUGGAGUUCAGUGGCACAAUCUCAGCUCACUGCAACCUCUGCCUCCUGGGUUCAAGCGAUUCUCCUGCCUCAGCCUCCCCAGUAGCUGGGAUUACAAGCACCCGCCAUCACGCCUGGCUAAUUUUUGUAUUUUUAGUACAGAUGGGGUUUCACCAUAUUGGCCAGGUUGGUCUCAAACUCCUGACCUCAGGUGAUCCGCCCACCUUGGCCUCCCAAAAUGCUGGGAUUACAGGCGUGAGCCACUGCACCCUGCCUACAGUAAUAAUUUUGAGUGAGAAUAACAAUAUUUUGUGUAUAGACUAUCUCCAGCCAGUUUGUAGAAUUCUCAAACGGCUCUGAACACUUUCAGGUUGUUUGGAGUUUGGAAAAACCUAAGUGGUGAUUUUCCCUGAAAUUUUAGGAUGUGAAAUUUUUUUAAAGUGGAAAUGCAAUCUGUAUAUAAUAACGUAGACUUCAAAAUGUUGUUAUGUAACAGGUAUUUGAUGUUUGACAAGUUUUUGACACUCUUUAAUGAGCCAGUUUACAUCUUUAAUCUUAUAAAUAAAUUUACCAAGUACAAAUCUGAGCAAUAAGUAUGGUAAGUUCGGCAUUUUAUCUUUAAAGGGGUGGAAUGGCAUCUAAAUUCAGAAAACCACUUAAUUUUCUUAAAGUGAAAACAUAUCCACACGCCUUAGUGAUUUCAGUCUCAGUCCUUUUUCUUUGACUUUCUUUUUUUUUUAAACCAAAUUAACCACCAUUUUUUUUCUAUUAUUAGGGAUUUCUAAGUUAUUGUUUAUGGAGAAAUGACUUGAGCUCAGGAGACCUGGAUACAAGUCUUAAACUAGUGAUGAGGUCUUAGGAAAGCCAUUUUGCCUCUCCAAAUUAUAGUUUUCUUUUCAGCUUGUUAGACUCAAUGAAUCAUUUAUUCAUUCAUUUAAUGAACAUCUACUGACUGCCUAUUGCGGUUUGGAGAAUUAAAAAAUAAUAAUAAUAACACUUUGUCCUUGCUUUCAAGGAGUUCAUAGUAAAGUGACACAGGUGGUACAUAGCACAAGGAACUUUUCUGAGUUAAGUACAGCGAUGGAGAUGUGAAUGGGGUCUUUUGGAAAUAUCUAGAAGGGAUACUUAAGUCAACUUCAGGUUGGAGAUGAAUGAAGGGAAAGUUUCCCUGGAGAUCAUGAUAUUUGAGCUGAGGAUGAAUAGGCAUUAGCUAGCUAAAGGCUGGUUGGGGAGGAGUUGAAAAAAUUCACAAAGGGAAGAUAGUAUGAACAAAGGUAUGAAGACACAGCCUGGUAUAAAGGGAUAUUGUAAACAAUUCAUGUUAUUGGAGAAAAAAUUGUGAAGCAGAGAGUAGGAAAGAAGAAUGUUGGAGAGGUGUGCAGGAACCAGAAGGCUUUGUGAGACUUUUUUCCCGGUAGGUGAUAAUUCAAUAAAAGAUGUUAUUUAAGGGUCAGAGGGAAACACAUCAAGUUUUCCUGAUAUCUCAUUCUAGCCUUCUUUAAUUUGAUUUAAUUUAUCUUUAACAUUUAAAACAGUAUGAAGGAAGUGGUCUAUAAGGUUUAUCCUAUAAUAUUCUAGCUUCCCAACCUCACUACCAUGAAAUCAUUUUUAGUAUGGUGCUAGGAUAUUUAUUGAAUAUGAGCUUUUUUUUCCCUUUACUUAACUGAAUGAAAAAGAGCUGUGAAGCUUUUUUUGUUUCCAGGAAACACAAUUGUUUUGAAUUAGUAGAGUGUUUGUCGAAGGAGUUCAGCAAAGCCCCACUAUUACCCUGGAGUAUGUAACUCUCAGUAUAGUUUUCUUUCUAUUUUCAUAAGGUUAACUGUUUCUCCAUAUAAAACAAGCUUAAUAACUAGCAGGGUGAUCCUUUGCCUUUGCAUCCUCUGUUACAUAUAAAACUUUUGAUAUUAAAAAUGAUUUUUCUCCUCCAUCAUUUCCUUCUCCUCCUUCCCUUCCUCCCCCUCCUCCUUCUUUCACUUAUAAAAGUCUCCUCUUAAGAUAAAAAUUCUAGAAAUGAGAUUCAUUAAGCUAUUAUCAGAUAAUGGGAGCAUAAGUUUUCUGACCAUUAGAUGCCCAUUGAAAAGGGAAAUAUGCUUACAGUCCAAGGUCAAGUGACCAGAGGUGGCGAAGGGCCUGUAUGUCUGAGAAGAAAGGGCCAAAUAUACACUCUGCCUCUUCACUGGAGAGAGCCACUUUCAACCAACAUGGUUUUUUUCUGGUAAAGCAAGCCAAUGUUAAGAACUACAUAAUGCUUAACAAAAUAAUUGAAGGGUCUAUUAUUCAAAAGGGGAAAGACUAAAGUCACUAAAUAGAAGAACAUUUCCUCAAUAUGACUGUAGGCAAUAUUCUCUUAGAAAAUAAUGAAAUGUUUGUCUUGGUGAUAUGGUUACCUUUCUUAAGUGAAUAGGAGAAGUAUUUUGCAUCUCUCUGUGAUGGGGAAACUGACCUGAAAUUGGAGCAUUCAUAGUCAUCUUCAUCCUUGAUUAUGGGAUGAGUGUCCACAUCCCAACUCUUUCUCUUUUUCUUGAAUGGACAGAUAAGAGAUUCCGUAAGUCCUGGCAAAGAGGGGAACACAUCUCUCUCAGAACUUCCCAGGAGGGAAGGUGGAGUCACUGAGGAACUUGAAGGUUUGAUUAUGGAGGUUUGAACAAAGAGAGAGAAGGGUGAGGGCUGUUUAUAAGGUAGUGAGGGAGAAAGCAUAAGUUAGGAGCAUCUUUCUCAUGAGGCUUAAGUCCGGAAGUGCUUUCCCAGGUGCUGUAUAAAUGAAUGGUGAAGUCAAAGAGAAUUACUGUAACUUCUAUUCCUCCUCAUACCCUACAAGGCUGUCUUUGUGGAUGUGCAACCUACAUAGUUGCACAGAACACAUUAUCAGAAAGGUCCUGCACUUGGUUUAAUAUUCUACUCUUACUGUCUUGAAAUUGUUACUUUUUUCUUUGAAUUUAUAUUUUUUAAAUGAAGUGCAAUAAGAUGAUGGAGCCUGAACACAGGAUAUGGCAAUAAGCAUGUGUGCUGCCAUUUUUGCCACCCCACUCCCACAUAAUGUUCAGUAUGCCCCAUAAGCACAGAAUUUCUCUGGACCCAUGAUGGGUGGGAAUGCAGUGAGACUCAAAGCAAGUACAAGGUGAGUUUGUUACAUCUAUGUCUGACUAAGCAGAAACUGACAGCUGCAAGAGGCCAGUGUUUGAACUAGAACGUGCUUUGAAUGCAGAAAUAAGGCAAUGGUGAAGAGACAACCUAUGUAAUAGGAAAAAGUAUUUGCAAACCAUACAAUUGAUAAGGGAUUAAUAUCAAAAAUAUAUAAGGGACUCAAGAAUGCAAACAAUUCAAUAGCAAGAAAACAAAUAACCCAAUUUAAAAAUGGGCAAAGGAUCUGAAUAAACAUUUAAAAAAACCA